AGUCACUGACAUUAGACUACCCCGGUAGUCCCAGCCGUAAACUAUGCGCGUUAGGUGUACUGGUGACCACGAGUCACCGGGGUGCCGAAGGGAACCGUGAAACGUGCCGCCUGGGAAGUACGGUCGCAAGGCUGAAACUUAAAGGAAUUGGCGGGGAGCACCACAACGGGUGGAGCCUGCGGUUUAAUUGGACUCAACGCCGGAAAUCUCACCGGAUAGGACAGACAUAUGAUAGUCGGGCUGAAGACUCUACUUGAUGAUCUG
rnacentral:rRNA from 1 species